AUUGAACGCUGGCGGCAUGCUUUACACAUGCAAGUCGAACGGUAACAGCACUUCGGUGGCUGACGAGUGGCGAACGGGUGAGUAAUACAUCGGAACGUGCCUAGUAGUGGGGGAUAACUACUCGAAAGAGUAGCUAAUACCGCAUGAGAUCUAAGGAUGACAGCAGGGGACCUUCGGGCCUUGCGCUACUAGAGCGGCUGAUGGCAGAUUAGGUAGUUGGUGGGAUAAAAGCUUACCAAGCCGACGAUCUGUAGCUGGUCUGAGAGGACGACCAGCCACACUGGGACUGAGACACGGCCCAGACUCCUACGGGAGGCAGCAGUGGGGAAUUUUGGACAAUGGGCGCAAGCCUGAUCCAGCAAUGCCGCGUGCAGGAUGAAGGCCUUCGGGUUGUAAACUGCUUUUGUACGGAACGAAAAGCCCUCUGCUAAUACAGGGGGGUCAUGACGGUACCGUAAGAAUAAGCACCGGCUAACUACGUG
rnacentral:rRNA from 1 species